rnacentral:rRNA from 1 species
GACGAACGCUGGCGGCGUGCUUAACACAUGCAAGUCGAACGGAAAGGCCCUGCUUUUGUGGGGUGCUCGAGUGGCGAACGGGUGAGUAACACGUGAGUAACCUGCCCUUGACUUUGGGAUAACUUCAGGAAACUGGGGCUAAUACCGGAUAGGAGCUCCUGCUGCAUGGUGGGGGUUGGAAAGUUUCGGCGGUUGGGGAUGGACUCGCGGCUUAUCAGCUUGUUGGUGGGGUAGUGGCUUACCAAGGCUUUGACGGGUAGCCGGCCUGAGAGGGUGACCGGCCACAUUGGGACUGAGAUACGGCCCAGACUGCUACGGGAGGCAGCAGGGGGGAAUAUUGCACAAUGGGCGGAAGCCUGAUGCAGCAACGCCGCGUGCGGGAUGACGGCCUUCGGGUUGUAAACCGCUUUCGACUGUGACGAAGCGUGAGUGACGGUAAUGGGUAAAGAAGCACCGGCUAACUACGUG